CCUACGGGUGGCUGCAGUGGGGAAUAUUGGACAAUGGGCGAAAGCCUGAUCCAGCCAUGCCGCGUGUGUGAAGAAGGCCUUCGGGUUGUAAAGCACUUUCAGUGGGGAAGAAAGCCUUGGGGCUAAUACCCUCGAGGAAGGACAUCACCCACAGAAGAAGCACCGGCUAACUCCGUGCCAGCAGCCGCGGUAAUACGGAGGGUGCGAGCGUUAAUCGGAAUUACUGGGCGUAAAGCGCGCGUAGGCGGUCUGAUAAGCCGGUUGUGAAAGCCCCGGGCUCAACCUGGGAACGGCAUCCGGAACUGUCAGGCUAGAGUGCAGGAGAGGAAGGUAGAAUUCCCGGUGUAGCGGUGAAAUGCGUAGAGAUCGGGAGGAAUACCAGUGGCGAAGGCGGCCUUCUGGACUGACACUGACGCUGAGGUGCGAAAGCGUGGGUAGCAAACGGGAUUAGAUACCCGGGUAGUC
rnacentral:rRNA from 1 species